GAUGAACGCUGGCGGCGUGCCUAAUACAUGCAAGUCGAGCGAACGGACGAGAAGCUUGCUUCUCUGAUGUUAGCGGCGGACGGGUGAGUAACACGUGGAUAACCUACCUAUAAGACUGGGAUAACUUCGGGAAACCGGAGCUAAUACCGGAUAAUAUUUUGAACCGCAUGGUUCAAAAGUGAAAGACGGUCUUGCUGUCACUUAUAGAUGGAUCCGCGCUGCAUUAGCUAGUUGGUAAGGUAACGGCUUACCAAGGCAACGAUGCAUAGCCGACCUGAGAGGGUGAUCGGCCACACUGGAACUGAGCCACGGUCCAGACUCCUACGGGAGGCAGCAGUAGGGAAUCUUCCGCAAUGGGCGAAAGCCUGACGGAGCAACGCCGCGUGAGUGAUGAAGGUCUUCGGAUCGUAAAACUCUGUUAUUAGGGAAGAACAUAUGUGUAAGUAACUGUGCACAUCUUGACGGUACCUAAUCAGAAAGCCACGGCUAACUACGUG
rnacentral:rRNA from 1 species